AUAUCGUUUCAUCUGAACUAAAUUAAUGUCUACAUCACAGCUGAAAAUAACACAUCGUCGCUGCAAGCAAAAACUACAUAAAACAAAUAAAAACAAUUUUCGCGCGCGCUUCCUAAAGUGAUUAACUUCUUUCUCUCCCUGCAGUAAACUCUUAAAAGCAUCCAAAAAUAUAUAGGGUCUGCACAAUACCAGAAAACCGUAUUUAUAUCGGUUGCCGUUUUCCAAAGUAAGCCAUUAGGCUAAAUGUUAAUUAGAAUGAACACCGGUCUUUACACGCGCACACCUAUAUAUCCAUUAUUCAGUCCGCAGCUGAGCUUUAGAUCUCAGGGCGUGGGGGCGGUCUUUUCCACGGGUCUGAUGGACCGGAACCACAGCUGAUGCAGGUCCACGUUCGCCCUUGGAGAUCGGAUGGCAGGACAGGGGUUCAUGCGCAGGCAGACGGGGGUUCAUGCGCAGGCGGACGGGUGGUCAGAAAGCAGGAAGAGCAGAGACCUGGAGAAGAUGAGGCACAUUCUCAUCACUGUCGUGGACGCUAACAGCAGAAUAAAGGCCCGCCUCUAUUUUCAUGCGAUUGGACAGCAGAGAAAAGAAUGACUUUUUCCUUGGAAUGCAUCGAAACAGGGUUUUUUUUUAUUUUUAUUUUUUAAGCUCCGUGAUCACCUAUCUAUUAGAGUCCCCCGGGUGUCCUGCAGCAGUCUGUUACCUGCAUGGUGGUGUUGUCCACGAUCAUGCUGUCGAAUGUGAUGUCGGGGUACCCGGACGCUACCUCCUUACAGCACUGCAGGAACAAGCCAUCACCCAACUUCCUGUGUGGGGGGGAUUGCAGAGUUUGAGUUACGCCGCAGAUGAACUAUUCUGCAGUCACACUAAACUACAGAUCUAAAACUAAUGUUAGGGACACGGUGCCUGCUGGUUUUUCUGUGAGUUUCAGCACUUCAAUCCUCAAUCUAAGUCACUGGUAUGCUAAAGGGUCCACACUCCUUGUUCCCAAGACUUGAUUUGGCUGCGAAUUGAAAGGAAAUCACAAAAACUUGUACAUACUGAAGCCCUCCAGAACAGAGUUUGAUGUCAUUGAAGAGACUGAGAAACACACAUCCUGAACGACUAACACAACUGGGAUUUGUGAACAGAAGGUUGCUAGUUCCAGCAUCAGGCAUGUUACUGCUUUUGUAGGGUUAGGCAGGUUGUCUUCAGCUGACAUGCAGCUAGAUACCAGUACAAUAGUGUGUAUUGGAAGUGGGUCCAGGCAAAGGCUUAUGCAAAGCUGAGGAGUUGAUGUGAAGAUGUUGACUCACAUGAUG